rnacentral:rRNA from 1 species
UAGCCAAUGGUGACUGGAGUUCAGACGUGUGCUCUUCCGAUCUGCUGAAGUGAAACAUCUCAGUAAGCGGAGGAAAAGAAAGAGAAAUCGAUUCCGUAAGUAGUGGCGAGCGAAAGCGGAUGGAGCCCAAACCGAAGGUAUUCCUUCGGGGUUGUAGGACCACGUCAUAUUCGACCAUACUGGAUAGUAGAACAGCCUGGAAAGGCUGGCCGGAGAAGGUGAAAGCCCUGUAGACGAAAUCCAGAGUGGGAAUUAGUGGUAUCCUGAGUAAUACAUCACACGUGGAACGAUGUAUGAACCCGCGCGGACCACCGCGCAAGGCUAAAUACUAGUUGGCGACCGAUAGUGAACAAGUACCGCGAGGGAAAGGUGAAAAGAACCGCUGUGAGCGGAGUGAAAUAGAACCUGAAACCGUAUGUCUACAAAGUGUCAGAGCAGAGCAAUCUGCGAUGGCGUGCCUUUUGUUUAAUGAGUCUGCGAGUCAGUGUUUGUGGCAAGACUAAGGGCUUCCGGCCCGGAGUCGCAGCGAAAGCAAGUCCGAACAGGGCGCAAUAAGUCGCAGGUACUGGACCCGAAGCGGAGGUGACCUACCCUUGGCCAGGUUGAAGCAUGGGUAAAACCAUGUGGAGGACCGAACAGGUGAACGUUGAAAAGUUCUCUGAUGAGCUGAGGGUAGGAGUGAAAGGCUAAUCAAACCCCGUGAUAGCUGGUUCUCUUCGAAAUGCAUUUAGGUGCAGCGUCACGUGCUGAUGCGCGGGGGUAGAGCACUGACAAGGCUAGGGGGCACACCCGCUUACCAAACCUUAUCAAACUCCGAAUACCGUGCAAUGGAACGUGGCAGUGAGACAGUGGGGGAUAAGCUUCAUUGUCGAGAGGGAAACAACCCAGACCAGCAGCUAAGGUGCCUAAAUAACGCUCAGUGGAAAGGAUGUGGGAUUACACAGACAGUGAGGAUGUUGGCUUAGAAGCAGCCACCAUUUAAAAAAUGCGUAAUAGCUUACUCAUCGAGUGAUCCUGCGCCGAAAAUGAUUGGCGAUCAAGCGUUAUACCGAAGCUCUGGACUUUGCCGCAAGGCAGAGUGGUAGAAGAGCGUUGCAUGCGCGUCGAAGGGCGAUGGCGACUGACCCUGGAGCACAUGCAAGUGAGUAUGCAGACAUGAGUAACGUUAAGCCGGGUGAAAUCCCCGGCCGCCGUAAACCCGAGGUUUCCAGGGCAACGUGUUUCGUCCCUGGGUUAGCCGGGACCUAAGCCGAGGCCGAGAGGCGUAGGCGAUGGACAUCAGGUUAAUAAUCCUGAGCUCGCAACCCUUAAACUGGGGGGACGCAUGAGAAAAGAUGACUAGGUUAUUGAAUUCCGAGUUGAGUCCACGGACUCAGCGCAUCAUUGGAUCGAGUGCCAAGAAAAGCCCCAGCGUAUGCUAAGCGACCCGUACCGCAAACCGACACAGGUGGGUGGGUAGAAUAUACCAAGGCGUAAGAGUGAAACCUGGUUAAGGAACUCGGCAAAUUAGCCCCGUAACUUCGGAAGAAGGGGUGCCUGCAGCGAUGCAGGCCGCAGAGAAAUGGCCCAACCGACUGUUUAUCAAAAACACAGCACUCUGCAAAGACGCAAGUCGAAGUAUAGGGUGUGACACGUGACCAAUGCCGAAAGAUUAAGGCAAGGGGUUAGCCGCAAGGCGAAGCUCUAAACCCAAGUCCCGGUGAAUGUCGGCCGUAACAAUAACGGUCCUAAGGUAGCGAAAUUCCUUGUCGGGUAAGUUCC